GGGGAUGACAGGACUCGAUAGGUGGAUCCCGUUGUUGUCUACAUACAUGCCGAGGUUGUUCGUUAUCCUCGUUAAUGCCAACGAACACCUGAUACGUGCAAACGUUAUCACCCGGGUGAAGGGCGCUAUUGCUCGCGCAUUCAGCGUUCCAACACUCGCUGCCGUUGUCGCCUAACUUAGGCCACAACCAUCGCUUCCCUGAUACUCGAUAAGGGCCAAGCGGUGUAAACCCAUCGAGCGUAGGAGUCGGUCGCCGCCUGACGGUCGCCUCCGAAGUCUCUCAGGCUAGUACAGCGCUCUUUUGCCGGUUACAGAGGCGCUGUACAAGAUACCAAACCGGCUAAGCAUGAAGAGUGUGGCUGCAACCCAUCUAGACCCGGGUUCAAAUCCCGGCAUCUCCACGC
rnacentral:tmRNA from 1 species